AACAGUAUCGAGAGACCAGGAUGUUGGAAAGUUGUGUUAAACAUAUCCCAUAACCUUUCAACAGGAAGCCUUGUAACCAAGCAAAAUAUCUCCCAAUGUUCAUUAUACAUGACCCACCUCAGGGGUGUUUGAUGGACCUUUAAAACCAUUGCAUAAAUCAGCAUGCAUUAAUCAUGCCACGCAUAUCGUUCAUCUAGCAUAGCAUGAAGC
rnacentral:lncRNA from 1 species